rnacentral:rRNA from 1 species
GUCCACGCCCUAAACGAUGUCAACUAGUUGUCGGGGAAGCAAUUCCUUGGUAACGCAGCUAACGCGUGAAGUUGACCGCCUGGGGAGUACGGUCGCAAGAUUAAAACUCAAAGGAAUUGACGGGGACCCGCACAAGCGGUGGAUGAUGUGGAUUAAUUCGAUGCAACGCGAAAACCUUACCUACCCUUGACAUGUCCAGAAUCCCGCUGAAAGGUGGGAGUGCCCGAAAGGGAAUUGGAACACAGGUGCUGCAUGGCUGUCGU